rnacentral:rRNA from 1 species
AUGAAACCAUUGACAUCUAAAACAGAGAGGAAUGGCCGCAAGUGCUGGUUGACCACGUUCCUGCUGGCAAACUACUCAAGACAGAAGACAUCAUCAGCGUCUAAGCCUGCUGUUCUUCAGCAUCUACAGACAGCAAAUCUGACUGCUGGCUCCAACAACAACAGGCAUCACACGGCCAGUGUAGUGGCAAGGCGUCACCAUAGAGCUCAGCACCGCCUUCUCAACCUCGGCAGAGGCAUUCCUCCUCAGCAAGCACAUGACAUACUCCAUCACUACGGCGUCACAGGGCAGCGUGAUCUUGCCAUCACUUGCGAAGCCAAACUCCUCCUGGGACAUCCUCAGGAGCUCGCCCAAGACCCCCGUGCCGAGGUACACCAGCGGGACCUCGAAGCGCCUCCCGUCGGCCGUGUACAUGACGCAGUGGCCCUUGGCCGGUGCGGAGGUGCAGCAUCCUUGGUCUUCCUUGGCCGCCGCGGUGAGCCUCUUCCUCCCGAGCGCUUCCACCCUCUUUGCCAGCUGAGCGAGUCUCUUGGCGCCGGCCAUGGUUCUGGCUGGGUGUUGGUUCUCAGCUGGAGAUUUGGGGAAAGUGUGCUGCUGUCUGCUAUGGAUGUUGCAAUGCUCAGCUGGUGGCGGAUAUGUUUAACGAUCAGGUGA